GACGAACGCUGGCGGCGCGCCUCAUACAUGCAAGUCGAACGAAAAACUCGGAGCUUGCUCCGGGUGGACAGUGGCGAACGGGUGAGUAACACGUGAGAAACCUGCCCGAAGACCGGGACAACACCGGGAACCGGUGCUAAUACCGGAUGUCCUUACCGGACCGCAUGAUCUGGUAAAGGAAAUGGAUUCCGCUUCGGGAUGGUCUCGCGGCCUAUCAGCUUGUUGGCGGGGUAAUCGGCCCCACCAAGGCUACGACGGGUAGCUGGUCUGAGAGGAUGUCCAGCCACA
rnacentral:rRNA from 1 species